rnacentral:rRNA from 6 species
UUAAAUUGAAGAGUUUGAUCAUGGCUCAGAUUGAACGCUGGCGGCAGGCCUAACACAUGCAAGUCGAACGGUAACAGGAAGCAGCUUGCUGCUUCGCUGACGAGUGGCGGACGGGUGAGUAAUGUCUGGGAAACUGCCUGAUGGAGGGGGAUAACUACUGGAAAC